UUGUACUCUCUUUAAAUUAAUCUAUUAACCAUUUUAACAUAUAUCUAGAUUUAUUAACAUAUAAUAUAUUUUAACUAAUUUUUACAUACUGUAAGCUUUUACAGUACAACAACGGAACUUUUUUAGACUAAGCUGAGACCUCUGUGGUUGAGACCUCAUUGGUUUGCGAAGAUGGACCAGGUCUCAUCAUUAAUAAGAUGUCUGGUACAGAAACUGUAUU
rnacentral:lncRNA from 1 species